UGGGAAUUUUCCGCAAUGGGCGAAAGCCUGACGGAGCAAGAACGCGUGGGGGAGGAAGGCCUUUGGGUUGUAAACCCCUUUUGUUAGGGAAGAAAAAAAUGACGGUACCUAACGAAUCAGCCUCGGCUAACUCCGUGCCAGCAGCCGCGGUAAUACGGAGGAGGCAAGCGUUAUCCGGAAUUAUUGGGCGUAAAGCGUCCGUAGGUGGCCCGGCAAGUCUGCUGUCAAAGACCACAGCUCAACUGUGGAAAGGCAGUGGAAACUGCAAGGCUAGAGUGCGGUAGGGGUAGAGGGAAUUCCCAGUGUAGCGGUGAAAUGCGUAGAGAUUGGGAAGAACACCGGUGGCGAAAGCGCUCUACUGGGCCGCAACUGACACUGAUGGACGAAAGCUAGGGGAGCGAAAGGGAUUAGAUACCCCAGUAGUCAAGG
rnacentral:rRNA from 1 species